GGCAGUAUAGUGUAGUGGUUUGAGUAUUCGGCUAUGAACUGGGAGACCAGGCUUUGAAUCCCUGCUCAGCCA